UUUGGUUUGCUGCCUAUUUGUUUUGAUAAUGAAAAAAAAGGGGAGAAUGCUUAUGAUGGUAUAUAUAUAGUUGAGAGUUUGGUUGAUUGAGCUUAUUUGAUGAUUACUGAGAGUUUGGGUGAUUGAAAGUAUGUUGGAAUUUUGAAUGAGUUGAACAGUUUGAUGAUGAUGGUAUAUAUGUGUUGAUAUAUGCUGAAAUAGUUUGGUUGAUUGAGUUUACAUAGAACACUUUCACUUUUGAGUCCAAGCAUCAUGUUCACAUAGUGACACUGCUACUUGAACAAAGUGACAUAAAUAAGCAGGGGAUGCAGUGCACAGAGAGAUCCACAUUUUUUACAGAACAUUUGAGAUGCUUAAGCGGUGUUUUCAUUUGCAUUUAAAGACAGUCCUUGGAGGGGUUCACUUGCUCGAUGUUGUCUAUAGCAACAAUUGCAGUGCUCAUUUUAUUUCAUUACAUCUGUUUCCAGAGAACGGACAUAAGUCAUAGAUGAGCAAGGGGAACAACGAUAAAAUUCUUGAAGACAUGGAGUGCUUGACAAUUAUGCUGUAAUAGGUAUUUGAAGAUACAAGUCGAGCAGGAACUGUUGAUAUUAGUUGUGAAUAAUACGUAAAUUCUAGCCAUACUUGUAAUAAUUUUUUGAUUUUCAUUAUAGGGAGAGAUUAGAAUAAUAUGAAACUCAUAGUUUUUUUUUUUUUCUCAUUUUUUAUGAUUGUAGAGGGUAUAAAAGCUCUUAUGAUGAUUGUAAUCAAUACAUUUUGAAUGUAAAUGAUCAUUUUUUGUAUAUAUCUUGUUUUCUACUAAAUUCAUGUGAUCA